rnacentral:rRNA from 1 species
AGUGAACGCUGGCGGCGUGCUUAACACAUGCAAGUCGAACGAGAACGGAUUAUAGCUUGCUAUAAUUGUCAGCUAAGUGGCGCACGGGUGAGUAAUGUAUAGGUAAUAUGCCUCUUACUAAGGGAUAACAAAUGGAAACGUUUGCUAAUACCUUAUACUCCUUAUUAACAGAAGUCAAUAAGGGAAAGAUUUAUUGGUAAGAGAUUAGCCUGUAUUGUAUCAGUUAGUUGGUGGGGUAAUGGCUUACCAAGACUAUGACACAUAACUGGUGUGAGAGGAUGAUCAGUCACACUGGAACUGAGACACGGUCCAGACUCCUACAGGAGGCAGCAGUGGUGAAUAUUGCACAAUGGACGAAAGUCUGAUGCAGCAACGCCGCGUGGAGGAUGACACAUUUCGGUGCGUAAACUCCUUUUAUAUGAGAAGAUAAUGACGGUAUUAUAUGAAUAAGCACCGGCUAACUCCGUGCCAGCAGCCGCCGUAA